AGUGAACGCUGGCGGCGUGCUUAACACAUGCAAGUCGAACGAGAAACGGAUUUAGCUUGCUAAAUUGCAGUCUAAGUGGCGCACGGGUGAGUAAUGUAUAGGUAAUAUGCCUCUUACUAAGGGAUAACAAUUGGAAACGAUUGCUAUUACCUUAUAUGCCUUUAAUACGAAAGUAUGCAAGGGAAAGAUUUAUCGGUAAGAGAUUAGGCUGUAUGGUAUCAGCUUGUUGGUGAGGUAGUGGCUCACCAAGGCUAUGAAGCCUAACUGGUUUGAGAGGAUGAUCAGUCACACUGGAACUGAGACACGGUCCAGACUCCUACGGGAGGCAGCAGUGGGGAAUAUUGCACAAUGGACGAAAGUCUGAUGCAGCAACGCCGCGUGGAGGAUGACACAUUUCGGUGCGUAAACUCCUUUUAUAUAGGAAGAUAAUGACGGUACUAUAUGAAUAAGCACCGGCUAACUCCGUGCCAGCAGCCGCCGUAA
rnacentral:rRNA from 1 species